rnacentral:rRNA from 1 species
AUUAGAGUGUUCAAAGCAGGCAGAUUCAAUUUUCUGCCACCGAAUACAUUAGCAUGGGAUAAUGGAAUAGGACCCUGUCCUCCUAUUUUCAGUUGGUUUUGGCAGCGCGAGGACUAGGGUAAUGAUUAAUAGGGAUAGUUGGGGGCAUUAAUAUUUAAUUGUCAGAGGUGAAAUUCUUGGAUUUAUGAAAGAUUAACUUCUGCGAAAGCAUCUGCCAAGGAUGUUUUCAUUAAUCAAGAACGAAAGUUAGGGGAUCGAAGACGAUCAGAUACCGUCGUAGUCUUAACCAUAAACGAUGCCGACCAGCGAUUAGGAGACGUUGAAUACAAAACACCACCAUCGGCGCGGUCGUCCUGGGCGUUCGUGUUCACGCACGAGCGCGAGGGCGGCUAGCCCGAUGCAUGAGACAU